rnacentral:lncRNA from 1 species
UUAUAAGUUCCAUGCAUGCAUACAUGACCCACAUUUUGACCGCUCGAGCAACCAAAUUAACUGCUAAUUAAUAAAAGAAAAAAUGAAGGGUACUGUUUUGUCGUCCAUAAUGGUACUGCUGAUCGUCAUCGUGUCUUUUCAGUCGAAGACUACCGACGCCACCUCCUUUCUCGUCGGCGAUGGUGACUGUCGUCCAUAAUGGUACUGCUGAUCGUCAUCGUGUCUUUUCAGUCGAAGACUACCGACGCCACCUCCUUUCUCGUCGGCGAUGAUGACGGUUGGGGGUUGAAAGCUGGCAAUUGGGCUCAGGGAAUGAAUUUGCGUGCCGGCGACACACUUAGUAAUCCUCAAAUCUCUCUCUUUCUCUCUCUCUCUCUCUCAACCCAUCAUCGUCACAUUUUCGCGAAACCCGGACCUUUUCAAAUGGAAUUAAUUCGCAGCUGAAUUCCAUCCGAAUUGGUCGGGUCUGAAAAAAUGUAUUUGGCAGGAGGGACGGAUUUAAGGGGUGACUGUCCUAAAUACGUGCCUUCUCUUUUUCGAUGAUAAGAGUGACAAAUUCAUUAUAAAUUAUAAAUUUUUUUAUUCAGUAAUAUUUCAAAUUUAGUUACAUACCAUUUUCAAUUCUAAAUCCGUCAUUAUUUGCGGAAUUGGUCACAACUAAUUCUGCCUCUAAUUCCAGAGAGCAAAACGUGGCCCUAAAAAGAUCAUUUAAAAUAAAAUCAAAGUGGGAUCACAUUUUCCAUUCUUUCGCCUCCAAUUCCGGCCAGAAUUUGGAUUCAGGGCGGAAUUGACAGGAUUUUCAAUUCAAGACUUCUUCAAAUGGAAUUCAGCAACUGGAAUUUUUGGCAAAUUCCGGGUCAAUUCCCCCUCCAAUUCCGGCCCGAUAAACGUGGCCCAUAUUUAUAAUAAAAGAAAUAUUAAAAAUUAAAUUUUGAAAUCCUUAAUUGUUUUGUAAUUAUUAGUUUAAUAAUUUGUUGUCGCAUGCAUGCAGUUUUCAAGUACGACCCGGAUAAAUACAACGUGGUGGCCGUUGACAGUGAGGAAACUUACAAUAACUGCAAAACUCCGCCGG